rnacentral:misc_RNA from 1 species
UUUCCGUAGGUGAACCUGCGGAAGGAUCAUUAUUGAAAUCCAAACUGGGGUUGGGUUGUUGCUGGCUACGGCAUGUGCACGCCCUCUCCAAAACUCACACCUGUGCACUCAUGGGACGGAGCCGGCCACUGGUUUGGCUGGUGAAGUCCACCUUUACACACUCUUUUGAAACCUGAAUGUAACUGUCGUUUAUUAACGAAUGAAACAACUUUCAACAACGGAUCUCUUGGCUCUCGCAUCGAUGAAGAACGCAGC